rnacentral:rRNA from 1 species
CCCUUAGAUGUUCUGGGCCGCACGCGCGCUACACUGAUGAAUUCAACGAGCUCCUAACCUAGGCCGAAGGGUCCGGGUAAUCUUUGAAAUUUCAUCGUGAUGGGGAUAGAUUAUUGCAAUUAUUAAUCUUCAACGAGGAAUUCCUAGUAAGCGCGAGUCAUCAGCUCGCGUUGAUUACGUCCCUGCCCUUUGUACACACCGCCCGUCGCUCCUACCGAUUGAAUGGUCCGGUGAAAUGUUCGGACCGCGACAGGGCGGACGGUUCGCUGUCAGCUUUGCUGCGGGAAGUUCAUUAAACCUUAUCAUUUAGAGGAAGGAGAAGUCGUAACA